rnacentral:tRNA from 1 species
GGGCUGGGGCUCAGUGGUAGAGUGUUUGUUUGGUAUACAUGAGGCACUGGGUUUGAUCCUCAGCACCACA